rfam:Zea mays cultivar B73 chromosome 9, whole genome shotgun sequence.
ACCUACUUGACUCAGUAGUUAGAGUAUCGCUUUCAUACGGCGAGAGUCAUUGGUUCAAAUCCAAUAGUAGGUA